rnacentral:lncRNA from 1 species
CGCCAAAUCGCUACUAUCAUGGCGACUCUUGCCCCUGAUCUCUCUUCUUUCUCUGAUGCUGUGGUCCCAUAGAUCGCACAUUUUUUUAACGCAAACAUCAGCCUUCUUACGAAGUCCUUGAAGAUCGAAUCUGCUCAAAAUUGGGUAGAGGUCUGAAAUGUUUGGUGCGCUCCACAACUCCAUCAUUUCCCUUACAAGAGCACUCACUCUCCUCCCUUCUUCUCCAUCGAAAUCCAUAAAAUCCCUCGUGAAGUAGACGUUUCCCAAUGUGUUAAAUGUAUAGAUGUACACAACGUCUCUCAUGGCCACCAGCUCACCUUGUUUCCUGCUCAGAUAAUCCACCAUUGCACGAACAUUUUUCUCCCUAACAUGGUACUGGGUUUCAACGAUUUUGGUGGAAAAUAGCUCUGUCCUCAUGAGGGCACGAAAAGCCAUCCAUUCUUUGCCGCACUCGUAGGACCACGCAAUGGAGUCCUUGUUGAGUUUGGGGUCGGUGGCAAAGGAAACCAUGGGGACGUGGCGGCCGCAAAGUUCCUUGUCGUGGGUCUUGAGAAUUUCGGUGGCUGCUUCAGGGGAAGAGCCGACUAUGACGAGUUGGGUGCCAAGACGGAGGGACAUGAGACCGCCAUGGGUUUUCGCCAGGUCGGCCAUGGAGACAUGCAUUUUCUUGUCCAAGUGGGGAAGGUUGCCUACAAUGGGCCAUGGUCUUGGACCUGGAGGGAGAGGUAGUUUAUUGGAGGAUUUUUGUUUGACUAUGAUGAGGAAGACGAUUGAGAAUAGAAGAAGGACAAGAGGCAGGGUUGCAGACGAGUCUGUAGGGAGGAUUGAUUCUAUUAAGGUCUGCAUGGCCUUUUGUUUUUUGUGUUUUUUUUUUCCUUCUCUUCUUCUGCCUCUACCUUUGCUCAAACUCCUACGAGUUUUGUGUUAAAGGAUGUCGGGUUUUUAUAGUAAAGUGCAGGCUUAGUAGAAGUGAAAUACUGACGAUUCUCAUCUCGCCCAAGAAGUUUGAAGGAAGCUGUGUAGGGUUGGUUGGGCUUUGAAUUAUUGACCAAUAAAGGAACAUCUAUGUCAUGCGGCCUCCACACGCGUGGAGACUCAAUUGAUGCAGAAAUUUAAAAUUACAACAUGUUGAUAAGAUAUAUAUAUUAUGAUUAGUGUUAGUGGACCAUGAGCCGCCAGUCUCGUUUAUACAUCUAACGUCGUCAUUCUUGGAAUUGAUUUAAUGAGUUUGUUUGGUUUUAAAUUUUCUGAAGCAGCCGCGACUGACCAGGUUUCCUUUUUAGGCAUUUACCCCAAUUAGCCCGCCCACCAACCCACCCGUUGACAUGACAUGCUGCGAUCUUCAAGAUAAGCGUAGUGGAGACUGACUACUGGCAUAUCAACAGUCGACACUUGUUUCAACUUUCAUUUUCCUCUUUUUUUUUUUUGUUUUGUUUUGUUUUGAGAAAUGCUUUUACUUAAUUACUAAAAACAUAUUGAUAAUUACAGCGUUACACAAAUUCCUGUUUAACUUUAUAGGUUUUUGGUUUACUUUUUUUAAAAUUAAUUACUUAAUUAAUACGAAUCAAAAUUAAACAAAAAUAAAUUUUAAUUAUUUACUCAAAUUUAUUAUUGAUCGAAUCUCACUCAACAGAAUAUAAAGAUACUUACACUAUAACAUUUUAAAAUAGAAUGACGAAUGAAAUUAUUAUUAGACAGCUUCUCAACAAAUGAAUAGAUCAAUUCAAAACAAUGUAUAAGUCACACAUCCUAAGUCAGUGGUACAUCUAUUUCAUUAGAAAUUAAUGACAUUUUAAAGAUAUAUUUUGAAAAAGGCUUGGUCUAAGAUGUUGAAUAAUAAAAUUUUAUAUAUAUUUUAAAUAUAUAUUUUAUUAAGAUUAAAGAUAUAUAAUGCAAUAUACAAGUAGGAGUAUAGACACAUUAAAGAAGUUAAAUAAUUAAAUAUUAAGAUAAUAAAAAUUAAUCUUUUUAAUCCUAUUUUAUAUUUUUUUCAAAACGUAAAAAUUUUAAUAUGAUUAAAGAGAUCAUAAGCUAAAGGUGCUAAUGGUUGAUCCCCCCAAAACAUUAAGAAUACUUCUUAUUCUCAAAGUAAAAAAAAAAACGUAAUUGAAAAUACCAAAUGAUUGAACAAUACUACUUUGAUAACAAGACAGACAUGAGAUUUAAUUGAGAGCGUGUAACAAAUCAAGGGAGAUAAAAGCUACUAUAUGGUAAAGGAUGUUGCUUGGUACAAAGAAAGAUAAAGCUUUUAUAUAUGUUUUAGAGGAGCAAUAUUUGGUGUAUCAUCAAAAUUAUUUUUAUAUUCUUAAUUCUUAUAUAAAAAGACAAGAGAUAUUAUAAUAAAAAAAAAUAAAGUGAAGAGAUCAUCAUCCAUCUCUUCUUUUAUCUUUGCAAUAUUUUGGAAAUGAAAGCUGAUUACAUGGUUGAUACAAUAAAUUAUAAGAACAUGCAGCAAAUUAAACUUAGUUUUCUUAGAAUUUCCUUUUGGGUAUGAGGGCAAGAGGAUUCUCUUUCAGCAAGGUGACACCAAACAACUCUUCCAUGUCAAGUUGCUCUGGCCGUAAAUUGUCGGGAAGUGACCAUUCGAAUUGGUGGAUUAAAUUCGCCAAAGCCAGCAGAACUUGUCUGGUGGCCAUGGGCAGCCCAGCGCAGAUUCUCCUACCAGCACCAAAUGGCAAGUACUCAAAAUCGUUGCCUUUGUAGUCCACACUAGAGUUGAUGAACCUUUCUGGCUUGAAACUCAUGGGAUCUUUCCAUAUUUUUUCAUCUCUUGCAAUGGCCCACACGUUGACCAAGACUUGGGCGUUUUUGGGGAUGGUGUGGUUCAUGAUUUCUAAGUCUUGGGCUGCUCGGCGCGGCAGCAAAACUGGGGCUGGUGGGUGGAGUCUUAGCGUCUCCUUGAUGCAAGCAUGCAGAUAAGGGAGUUUGGACAACUGUGAUUCCGUUACAAAGCUUUCAGAGAUUUGCUCUGAGAGUUCUUGGCGAGCUUUCUUCAUAGCUUCAGGGUUCUUCACCAUUUCUGAUAAGGCCCAUUCCACUGUUGAUGUGCUACCGUCAGACACUGCAGCUAAGAGUUCCUGCAUGAAUUUUCAUUAAUAUUAGUAUAUGUAAGCUCUAUAUUUGAAGUAAGCUCGUCGUUUACUGAGGUUAGCUCUCAUUUUAUCUUACUAAAAAAAGAAAGAAAAAGUAAGUGGCAUAAUUGUUUCACUUAUUAAGUAGCGAAUAAUAAGAAUUGAUGCGUACGUGGAGCUAGAAAGAGAUGUUACCAGGAAGAUAUAACUGAUCUGUUCAUCAUCAAAUCCAGACUCCAGCAGGAUGUCCAGAAAAUCUUUGUUCUUGGGCGCCAAAUCGCUACUAUCAUGGCGACUCUUGCCCCUGAUCUCUCUUCGUUCUCUGAUGCUGUGGUCCCAUAGAUCGCACAUUUUUUUAACGCAAACAUCAGCCUUCUUACGAAGUCCUUGAAGAUCGAAUCUGCUCAAAAUUGGGUAGAGGUCUGAAAUGUUUGGUGCACUCCACAACUCCAUCAUUUCCCUUACAAGAGCACUCACUCUCCUCCCUUCUUCUCCAUCGAAAUCCAUAAAAUCCCUCGUGAAGUAGACGUUUCCCAAUGUGUUAAAUGUAUAGAUGUACACAACGUCUCU